rnacentral:rRNA from 1 species
UACAGAGGUCCCAAGCGUUGUUCGGAAUUACUGGGCGUAAAGGGCUCGUAGGCGGCCAACUAAGUCAGACGUGAAAUCCCCAGGCUCAGCCUGGGAACUGCGUCUGAUACUGGAUGGCUUGAAUUCGGGAGAGGGAUGCAGAAUUCCAGGUGUAGCGGUGAAAUGCGUAGAUAUCUGGAGGAAUACCGGUGGCGAAGGCGGCAUCCUGGACCGACAUUGACGCUGAUGAGCGAAAGCUAGGGGAGCAAACGGG